CAUAUCAAUAAGCGGAGGAAAAGAAACCAACAGGGAUUGCCUCAGUAGCGGCGAGUGAAGCGGCAAAAGCUCAAAUUUGAAAUCUGGCGUCUUUGGCGUCCGAGUUGUAAUUUGAAGAAGGUAUCUUUGGGCCCGGCUCUUGUCUAUGUUCCUUGGAACAGGACGUCACAGAGGGUGAGAAUCCCGUGCGAUGAGAUGACCCGGGUCUGUGUAAAGUUCCUUCGACGAGUCGAGUUGUUUGGGAAUGCAGCUCUAAGUGGGUGGUAAAUUCCAUCUAAAGCUAAAUAUUGGCGAGAGACCGAUAGCGAACAAGUACAGUGAUGGAAAGAUGAAAAGAACUUUGAAAAGAGAGUGAAAAAGUACGUGAAAUUGUUGAAAGGGAAGGGCUUGAGAUCAGACUUGGUAUUUUGCAUGCUGCUCUCUCGGGGGCGGCCGCUGCGGUUUACCGGGCCAGCAUCGGUUUGGAGCGGCAGGAUAAUGGCGGAGGAAUGUGGCACGGCUUCUGCUGUGUGUUAUAGCCUCUGACGAUACUGCCAGCCUAGACCGAGGACUGCGGUUUUUACCUAGGAUGUUGGCAUAAUGAUCUUAAGUCGCCCGUCUUGAACCACGGAC
rnacentral:rRNA from 1 species